UUCAUGGAGAGUUUGAUCCUGGCUCAGGACGAACGCUGGCGGCGUGCCUAAUACAUGCAAGUCGAGCGGACAGAUGGGAGCUUGCUCCCUGAUGUUAGCGGCGGACGGGUGAGUAACACGUGGGUAACCUGCCUGUAAGACUGGGAUAACUCCGGGAAACCGGGGCUAAUACCGGAUGCUUGAUUGAACCGCAUGGUUCAAUUAUAAAAGGUGGCUUUUAGCU
rnacentral:rRNA from 1 species